rnacentral:lncRNA from 1 species
CUAACCCCCUGGGCAGGACCUAUUAUGGGGUUAGUAGAAUGAAUAAAGGAGGCACAGAAGCUGAGGCAGGGAGAUGCUUGGGUACAUUCUCAUGUAACGCCUGGGCAUAAUCAGCAACAGGAGUCACAGCAUGCAUCAGCUAGCCAUCUCACCUUUAGCCAACUAUUAUUUUCUCCUCUUUAAACUAACACUGAUGGAUUACCUUAGGGAAAAAAUGGAUUAAUGGAUUAAUUUCUCUUAGUUUUCUAAGGCUACAGGAAAAAAUAAUUGACCUCAUUCUGCUAACUGUGAAUGGGAGAAUGAAAUUCAUGCGCUUUUUCUUUUCUUUUUUUUUUUCCUCUGGCAGGAUGAGUUCUAAUGAUUCAUGUCCAUGGCAAUUGAAUUUCUUGGAGAAAAGCAUCUUGAAAUUUGAAGUUACAGUCUUGGCUUUUAAAACUCUGACUAUAAAACCUUUCUCUGAGUGGAAAAUAGGCUAAAUCAUGUUUUCUUGUCUUUUUCCUCUCACCUAUUCUGUUCCUUGAGCUUCUGAUUCACGACUAUGCACCAAGGACAUUGCGGAUGUGGGAGUGAAAUGAUUCUACAAUAUUUAGCUCUACAGAGAGAGGCAGACUUGGCUCUGAAGAGGCUGCUAAUUGGCUAAUCUAAUUUCACCUCCUCCGAAGACCUCAGAUGCCAGGAGCGAUGCUUAACUCUUCCUACACUGUCUCUGAUGCAUUUUUGAGUGGUAGCAAAUCUGAUCUCAAAGAUUUUUCUGCUCGUUGGAUUCAUCAAGCCGCCUGGCUCUUUGCUGUCACUCCUGACAACCCCGCAGAUAAACCCCCAGGGCAGGCUUGCUGGCCUGGAGCUCCUUCCCUGGCUCUGACCUUGCGGCACAGAGAACUUCCAGGCUGAGGGUCCAGACACCACUGGGGAGAUCUGCAUCUGGGGUUCCAGGGCAUCAUGGUUCCUAUAUGGCACCAGUAGGUGAAAGACAAACGAGGGACAAAAUAAAUUUGGGG